GAGCGCACCCCUCCCUUUGAGGUGCGCUCAUUUAGUUGGGCACUCUAAAGGGACUGCCAGUGAUAAGCUGGAGGAAGGUGGGGAUGACGUCAAGUCCUCAUGGCCCUUACGGGCGGGGCUACACACGUGCUACAAUGGUGGUGACAAGUGGGCAGCAAGCACGCGAGUUAGAGCAACUCUCCAAAAGCCAUCUCAGUCCGGAUUGCACUCUGCACCUCGAGUGCUUGAAGUUGGAAUCGCUUAGUAAUCGCGGAUCAACAUGCCCGCGGUAAUACUUUCCCGGGGUCUGGUCCAACCGAAA
rnacentral:rRNA from 1 species